AUUGAACGCUGGCGGCAUGCCUUACACAUGCAAGUCGAACGGUAACAGGUCUUCGGAUGCUGACGAGUGGCGAACGGGUGAGUAAUACAUCGGAACGUGCCUAGUAGUGGGGGAUAACUACUCGAAAGAGUGGCUAAUACCGCAUGAGAUCUACGGAUGAAAGCAGGGGAUCGCAAGACCUUGUGCUACUAGAGCGGCCGAUGGCAGAUUAGGUAGUUGGUGGGAUAAAAGCUUACCAAGCCGACGACCUGUAGCUGGUCUGAGAGGACGAUCAGCCACACGGGGACUGAGACACGGCCCAGACUCCUACGGGAGGCAGCAGUGUGGAAUUUUGGACAAUGGGCGAAAGCCUGAUCCAGCAAUGCCGCGUGCAGGAUGAAGGCCUUCGGGUUGUAAACUGCUUUUGUACGGAACGAAAAGCCCCGGGUUAAUACCCUGGGGUCAUGACGGUACCGUAAGAAUAAGCACCGGCUAACUACGUGCCAGCCGCCGCGGUAA
rnacentral:rRNA from 1 species